rnacentral:rRNA from 1 species
CGUGAGUAACCUGCCUUGGAGUGGGGAAUAACAGUUGGAAACAACUGCUAAUACCGCAUGAUGCAGUUGGGUCGCAUGGCUCUGACUGCCAAAGAUUUAUCGCUCUGAGAUGGACUCGCGUCUGAUUAGCUAGUUGGUGAGGUAACGGCUCACCAAGGCGACGAUCAGUAGCCGGACUGAGAGGUUGGCCGGCCACAUUGGGACUGAGACACGGCCCAGACUCCUACGGAAGGCAGCAG